AACGAACGCUGGCGGCAGGCUUAACACAUGCAAGUCGAACGGUUGUAGCAAUACAGCAGUGGCAGACGGGUGAGUAACACGUGGGAACCUUCCUAGGGGUACGGAACAACUCAGGGAAGCUUGAGCUAAUACCGUAUACGUCCGUGAGGAGAAAGAUUUAUCGCCCUUAGACGGGCCCGCGUCGGAUUAGCUAGUUGGUGGGGUAACGGCCUACCAAGGCGACGAUCCGUAGCUGAUCUUAGAGGAUGAUCAGCCACACUGGGACUGAGACACGGCCCAGACUCCUACGGGAGGCAGCAGUGGGGAAUCUUGGACAAUGGGCGCAAGCCUGAUCCAGCCAUGCCGCGUGAGUGAAGAAGGUCUUCGGAUUGUAAAGCUCUUUUACCAGGGACGAUAAUGACGGUACCUGGAGAAUAAGCCCCGGCAAACUUCGUG
rnacentral:rRNA from 1 species